rnacentral:piRNA from 1 species
UGACACAACCAGGAUCACAGGAAGGA